rnacentral:rRNA from 1 species
AUUGAACGCUGGCGGCAUGCCUUACACAUGCAAGUCGAACGGUAACAGGUCUUCGGAUGCUGACGAGUGGCGAACGGGUGAGUAAUACAUCGGAACGUGCCUAGUAGUGGGGGAUAACUACUCGAAAGAGUGGCUAAUACCGCAUGAGAUCUACGGAUGAAAGCAGGGGAUCGAAAGACCUUGUGCUACUAGAGCGGCCGAUGGCAGAUUAGGUAGUUGGUGGGAUAAAAGCUUACCAAGCCGACGAUCUGUAGCUGGUCUGAGAGGACGAUCAGCCACACUGGGACUGAGACACGGCCCAGACUCCUACGGGAGGCAGCAGUGGGGAAUUUUGGACAAUGGGCGAAAGCCUGAUCCAGCAAUGCCGCGUGCAGGAUGAAGGCCUUCGGGUUGCAAACUGCUUUUGUACGGAACGAAAAGCCCUGGGUUAAUACCCUGGGGUCAUGACGGUACCGUAAGAAUAAGCACCGGCUAACUACGUGCCAGCCGCCGCGGUAAGAC